GCAGGGAACAGGACCGAGCUUGUCUCCUAGCAACAAGAUAACGCAUGCGUACAGCUUCUCGGCUACAGAACAGAGCCGGCGCAGAGAGACCUGAUGACGUACAACGGAGGAAUCAGAAAAAGGAGGGGAUUUUGAACAAAGACAAGCAGCU